UUAAAUGAGGACGCGUAUGAAAGGCAACAUGAGAGAAGACCUGUCUCCUAAGGGAUGCCAAUGAAAUUGAACUGCCAGUUCAAAAGCUGGUAUGAAAAAGCAAGACAAAAAGACCCUGUGGAACUUUAAUUAACUGCUUUACAUAAUAUAAACCAGUAAUUUCAGUUGGGACAACUUUAGAAAAAAUAAACUUCCUAAUUUUACUAGACUAACCAGUCAAAACAAAAAUGACCCAGUAAUACUGAUUAACGAAACAAGCUACCCCAGGGAUAACAGCGCCACCUUCUCAAAGAGUUCAUAUCAACAAGAAGAUCUACGACCUCGAUGUUGGAUCAGGGUACCCAGACGGUGCAGCAGCUGUCAAUGGUUCGUUUGUUCAACGAUUAAUACCCU
rnacentral:rRNA from 1 species